rnacentral:misc_RNA from 1 species
AUUGCGCUUGAAAAGUGUAGAGAUUGGAGGUGGGGAGUUUAAUUUUUAGUAAGACACCCGGCUCUGUUGCCGUAUACUGAUGAAAUGUCUUUGUAACAGUUAAGUUAACCUAAAUUCCCUGUAAUUUUGGAGAGAAUGGUUGCGCAAAGUUUGUGAUGUUCAGUGAGAAGCUUAACUUGAUAUAAGGGUGCAAAAUAAGUCAAGUGGUUAUUUUAUUAAGUUUAUCUUCAGUUCCAGAGAUGUUAUAUUUGACAGCUGAAAGGAUGUGAAUAAAUUGUAUGACUGUACAUGAAGUGUUAACCUGUAUUAGUGGACAUUUUUGUGACACAUCAUGGAAACUACAAAAUCAACAUUUGGGCCAGUUGAUUAUGUUGUCUUUAGUCUCAUGUUGGCAUUUUCAGCGGCAAUAGGAAUUUAUUACAGAUUUUCUGGUGGCCGUCAAAGAACAACAAAAGAAUAUCUUCUUGCUAACCAAAGUAUGUCUGUUAUUCCUGUGGCAUUUUCACUAAUGGCCAGUUUCAUGUCAGCUAUAACACUCCUUGGAGUUGCUUCAGAAAAUUACAUCUAUGGCACUCAGUUUGUAGUCAUUAACAUUUCCUAUAUCAUUGGAACUCCAAUAUCAGCAUUUGUUUUUCUUCCAGUGUUUUUCCACAUGCAAGCAACAAGUGCUUAUGAGUACCUUGAACGGAGAUUUGGCAAAAUAACUAGAAAAGUAGCAUCUCUGACUUUUAUAGCUCAAAUGAUUAUGUACAUGUCCAUUGUGCUUUAUGCUCCAGCAUUAACCCUUAGUGCUGUGACAGGGCUGUCAAAAUGGGCUUCCAUUAUCUCCGUGGGACUUGUGUGUACUUUCUACUGUACUGUUGGUGGGAUUAAAGCUGUCUUAUGGACCGACUUAUACCAGUCACUUCUUAUGUUUCUGUCCAUGUUUGUUGUCCUUAUUAAAGGAACUUAUGAUGCAGGGGGUCUUCAGAAUGUAUGGCAUAUUGCUAAAACUGGGGGUAGAAUACAAUUUUUCAACUUUGAUCCAGACCCUACUGUUAGACAUACUGUUUGGACUCUUGCUAUUGGAGGAAUUUUUACAUAUACUUCUAUCUAUGGUGUGAACCAAGCCCAAGUUCAAAGACUACUUACAGUAAAAACGUUGAAGAAAGCCCAGCUGGCUUUAUUUUUGAAUUGGCCAAUCACCACUCUUCUUAGUAUAACAACAUCACUGACAGGGCUUGUUAUUUAUGCAAACUUUCACUUGUGUGAUCCAAUACUACGCCAAGAGGAAACAAAUGUAAAAUCUCCUGAUCAGUUGCUGCCAUAUUUUGUCAUGCUAUCCCUUGGACAUAUCCCAGGCCUGCCAGGGUUUUUUGUUUCAGGAAUUUUCAGUGGUGCUCUUAGUACUGUUUCAUCAGCUCUUAAUUCACUGGCAGCAGUAACUUUGGAAGACUUUCUAAAGCCUCUAUGGCCAAGGAAUGAACUCUCGGAUACAAAGGCAGCUUUAGUAUCAAAAUUUCUUGCUCUUGGUUAUGGCAUCCUUUGUAUAAUCCUAACGUAUGUUGCUGAGCAGCUUGGUGGAGUGCUUCAGGCAUCUUUAACAAUAUUUGGAGUCGUUGGAGGCCCUUUACUUGGUCUUUUUACCUUGGGCAUGCUUUUCAGAAAACCAAACCAAAUUGGUGCAUUAGUUGGUUUGUCAGUGGGUCUUGCAUUUUGUUUCUGGAUUGGAUUUGGAGCUGGUGCAGCAAAGAUUCCUGUUCCAAAACUUCCUCUAACAGAUGAAGGUUGUACAGUUUCAAAAAAUGAGACUUCUUUCACUGACUGGAUUACAAUUGACAAUAGUACUUCGCUGUUCAACAAUACUAUCUAUGUACAAGAUAUCAAAAACAUAACCAUUGAAGGCAAAGAACGUUAUGUGUUUCCAUUGUACAAAAUGUCUUACAUGUGGUAUGCUGGAACAGGAUGGCUAGUAACACUAGUUGUUGGACUACUUGUCAGUUAUAUCAUAGGAAAGAAUGAAGAAGUUGAUCCAACACUUUUAAGUCCUAUUGUCAAAUUUUGGACAAAGCCAGACACUAAACUUGAGAGUUCUCAGUUCUUCCACUUAAAUAGUGAAAAUGAUGAUUCAAGUGCUUGUAUUGCAAGAGAAGGAAUAGAUAAAACAGAAACUUGACCCCAUAUCAACAGUACUUAAGUUAAUUUUAUGCAUUUAAACAAGGAAGCUAUUGUAAACGGAUUGGUGUUAAAAGCAUAGGUAGAUAUUUUGGGUUGUGUUAGACUAAGGUAACUUUUUGGCUAUAUUUAAUUGGAUCACAUUUUUUAUUGUGCUUUAUUAGAUUAUAUCUUGGUUUGUAUUUGAUAACUUCUGUGUGUUGUUUGAAUGGUAAUCUCUGGAUGUAUUUUAAGUGAAUAAUUUUGUUGGUUUGAAUUUGAAUAGCCAGUUUAUCAGGAUAGACUGAGCAAGUUUCAAAGGAGAAAUAAUUUUGAUAAUCUACUGAGAUAUAACUUACCAGAAUAAUUAAUGAUGAAGUAAGGUGGUCAAACUAUAGUUAAGCUUUCAUAUCAUAUGGUUAGGUAAAGAACAAGAUUUCAUAGCAAAAAGGUUUUAACUUUGCUAACAGAAAUGCAAAACAGGUUGGAGAGAGAGAGAAACAAAUCACCCUCUUAAUUGUUAACUACAUGCUAGUUCCCUACUAUUUAAUAGGAGCCUCAGUCCUAGGUUUGUUUAUACCAUGUAAUCCCUCCGUUUGAAUUUUCUUCACAUGUAUCCUUGAUCACUGCCUACAGCUGAAACAAAUAGUGCAUUUGCUCUUCAAAUAUAUCUGUCACCCAUAUUCGAUUAUUUGACAAUAAAGACCAUGAAAAUAUUAUGUCUGUUUGCAUAUUUGUUGUACUUUGUUUAUCAUAAAUUGAAAGCAAUUCCUCACAAUAAUGGUAAUGAAAUUUACAGGUCAUGUACAGGCAUGUGUUCAAAAAUUCUAAAAAAUAUUUAGUAUUGGCUUCAUCAUCAAAAUUACCUGCAUUCAGAAUUAUACAGAUAUUACCAAAUAUGAUACCACCUUUUAUAAUAUAUACAUCAGAUCAUACUACACCCAAUUUGACUAUGUCACGCUCAGCCAUACCUAAUAAUUUCUUUUUAAAUAUCCAUUUUGGUUCAUUUUUAGUGAUUUAGUGAUCAUUCAGCCCACGUCUGAAUAUAUUUAUAUUGAACAUUGUUAGUUUCUUCAUUCAUAGAUUUGAGGUGCAGUGAAAAUUUGUAUGUUUAUUAUGUCACACAAACAGUUACAUCUGACAGGUAAUCCAAAUUGUUGAAUAGUAGUGAAUACUGAACCUGAGGUGGCUUUGUUGGUUAAAAUGCCAUUUAACAGUAUGUUUGCUUUUUUGAAUUUUACACAAAGCUACUCAAGAGCUAUCUGUACUAGCGGUCCCUAAUUUUGAAGUGAUAAACUAAAGACAAAGCAUCUACUCAACACCACUUAUCAUCAAAUCUCUGGCUACUCUUUAAGUGCAAAUAUUGGGAAUACCUGUGGUAUUAUAUCCCCCCCCUCCCAGCUGAAAGUGUGAGCAUGUUCAGUGCUGAAAUUCGAUCCUCCAACCUGCAAAUUGUGAGUUGAGUGCCCUAGCCAUCAUGCCAUGCUAGGCCAGUGAACAUUAUGAUGAGAGGUAGGGUAGAUAGACAUAAAGAUACAUAUAUUCAGCGGAUGUAGUUGAUGAAAUUUGCUUGUGCUUUGCAAUCGAGAAUCAUUCUCGAGGUGUCGUCCAUGUUUUUUACAGCAUGAAGAAAAUCAUUUAAAAUAUACUAAAAAACCUAAAUAUUCAAAUACCAAAAUUCAGUUUGAAUAUUCAUUUCAGCUCUACCAAAGUUUUCAUACUGAUGUUAUUUUGAUAGUCAUUUUUUAAUGAUUUGACAAAAUGAUUAUAUAGUGAAAGUUAACAGUAUUAAUAUUAAAGUUUUAUAUUUCUAUUUUAAAAUAUUGGACUCUUCUCUUGAACUGUAGAAACUUAAUCUCUUGCAUGACUUGUUUAGUGAGAUUCUUUAGAGGAGAAAGUUGUUUAAACAUUUUUGUAUUUGAGUCAUUUCCAUACAAAAGAACAAGGAUGUUUUUAUUAUUAUUCUAGCAUAAUUUUUUACUUGUAUCAGUUCUUUAGUUAAAAACUUAUGUUAUGUUGAAUAAUUUAUUUUUGUGCCCGUCACAACACUUUGUGUAUAAAAAAACAACCAAAGAAACUGGGUUUAAAUUGCUCAUUUCAUUGUAAAUUACAUAGGCAACCCCAGCAGUAAUUAGUGGGAUUAAUUGCAAUAUUCAUGGUAUACUUUAGAUUUUUUUGUGACUCAUGAGUUAUUAGGGAUUCUGUAACCAACAAAAUAAGUACUUCACGAUCAGGAUUCUUGUGAUAAGCCAAAGUACAUAACACAUUGUAUCUGUAGAAAUUUCCAACAAUUCAUGAAAUGUAACUGUUUUAAACACUGGUUUGUUUUAUAUCUAUUUCAAAAUAUAAAAUUCAAGUUUUACAUGGGAAUUUAUAAAACAUAUUUGACAUUAGCAAAUGAAAUGGAGGUGUUAAUUAUAGUUUGCAGAAAAAGAAAAAAAAAGUAUAUGGGAAUUUUUCAUGUGUUUUGACAUUAAGUGGUAGCUUAACUGAGCCAAACUGUUUAGAAUCCAUGAACUGAAGCUCCACCGAAUUAUCUGUUGUAAACAGUAAUAAUACAGCAAUGCAAGGAAACUAAUUUCUGAUAUUCUCAGAUAUUUAGUUACCAGAUCUGGAAUAUAUCAUAUUUUAAAUAAUAAAUUUAUUUUUCUGUAAUUAGGAUUUUAAUUUGUUUGUAAACUAAUUGUUCUUUUUACCACAACAAUGUAGUAAUAGUAGUGUAAGUAUCAAAAUAUACAAGGUAGUUUAGUAUUAUAUCAAACAAAAGUAUCAAUAUUUUAAAAAGAAAUAUUUUUUCAAAAUGAUUUUGGAGUAUUUGGUAAAUUGAAUUUCAAAGAAUAGUAGAAUCAACACACAACUGUAGCAAAUUUCACCAUUACAUUCAGUGUAGAAUCAACACAUGACUGUAGCAAAUUGUACCAUUACAUAGUGCUAAAAAUUUGGGUAAAAUUUGUCUUUAUAGGAAAUUUACCAUUAUGGAGCAUUUUUUAAUGUUUAGCUAUACGGUUUUUAAAGGAAUUCUUAAAAAGCAUGUAAUUUUGAAAAGAAAUUCACAAAAAAUAUAUAAUUAUUUUAAUGUAAAGUUAAUUAUUAUUAUUAAUUAUUACCCUUAUAUGUAUAUGUGAUACAUACUUCAAGAAUUUCAAAUCUUUGUUCUGGGUAAUUUGUUUGAAAUAGAAUCAUUAUAGUUGUGCAUUUAAUAUUUUCUCAAUACUGUUUGAUAUUGUGCAAUUAAUGGUGCAGUUAUAUGCUGUUUCCACCCAUUCUAUGCAAUAAGCUUGUGUUCUAGAUACCUUAAAACUGAAUUGGACUAUGACUAUGUAAUUUAAACAUUUUUUUUGUUUUAUACAAUAGUAUAUAUUACAAGUGAACUUUUAUAUAUGACUAUAGAAUUUAGUCUUCAGUGAAAUGUUCUUUACUUCUACUUCUUAACACCAUACAAAUAAGUUUGUAAAACUACAUAGAAAAGCUGAUAUUAAGUGGAUGUUCUUUAAACUUCAAAACCCAAUUAACAAGCAGUCUGAAACAAUAAAUUGAGUCUAUGUGCACUAACUGAAAUAAGAAUGGAACUGACUUUAAACAAACUUGCUAACAUUUUCAGUAUUGAGUGAAGUAGAAAAGGUUUGUAAAAGCAGUUGAAACAUUCCAUAACUUUUUUCUAGACCAGAAAUAAAACAAAAUGAAUGAUAUGUUUUUUCAAAGUUCAUAGUUCCUGUGUUUCACUGACAAUAAUUGGUAAUAUCUUAUUUCCAAAGAUAAAAUAUUUUCACUUUUUGGCAGUUAUAAAUAUAAAAAAUAUACCUUAAGUCACCUGAACAAA